rnacentral:tRNA from 17 species
GCAGAAGUACUCAAGUGGCUGAAGAGGUGCCCCUGCUAAGGGUAUAGACCGUUUACGCGGUGCGAGGGUUCAAAUCCCUCCUUCUGCG